UGGGGAAUAUUGGACAAUGGGCGCAAGCCUGAUCCAGCAAUGCCGCGUGUGUGAAGAAGGCCUUCGGGUUGUAAAGCACUUUUAUCAGGAGCGAAACGCUGUCGGCUAAUACCCGGCGGAACUGACGGUACCUGAGGAAUAAGCACCGGCUAACUUCGUGCCAGCAGCCGCGGUAAUACGAAGGGUGCAAGCGUUAAUCGGAAUUACUGGGCGUAAAGCGUGCGUAGGCGGUUUCUUAAGUCUGCUGUGAAAUCCCCGGGCUCAACCUGGGAAUGGCAGUGGAUACUGGGAGGCUAGAGUGUGUCAGAGGGUGGUGGAAUUCCCGGUGUAGCGGUGAAAUGCGUAGAGAUCGGGAGGAACAUCAGUGGCGAAGGCGGCCACCUGGGACAACACUGACGCUGAGGCACGAAAGCGUGGGGAGCAAACAGGAUUAGAUACCCUGGUAGUCCACGCCCUAAAGCGAUGCGAACUGGAUGUUGGUCUCAACUCGGAGAUCAGUGUCGAAGCUAACGCGUUAAGUUCG
rnacentral:rRNA from 1 species